rnacentral:snRNA from 1 species
AGCUUUGCGCAGUGGCAGUAUCAUAGCCAAUGAGGUUUAUCCGAGGCGCGAUUAUUGCUAAUUAAAAAACUGGUAAAUAUCUGGAUUAACAUAAUAGAAUGUUCACCUCUUUUUGAGUUCUGUAAAAUAAG